rnacentral:rRNA from 1 species
GACGUAGGUGGCGAACGUUAUCCGGAAUUAUUGGGCGUAAAGGGUGCGUAGGUGGUCUGGCAAGUUAUUAGUGGUAAAUCGAGGCUCAACCUCGUGGAAACUAGUAAUACUGUCCGGCUUGAGUGCAGGAGAGGUUAACGGAACUCUAUGUGGAGGGGGUAAAAAUCCAUAGAUAUAUAGAUGAACAUCAAUAACGGCGAAGGCAGUUAACUAUUCUGUUUACUGACACUGAGGCACGAAAGCGUGGGGGAGCAAAAACGG